rnacentral:rRNA from 1 species
AUUGAACGCUGGCGGCAGGCCUAACACAUGCAAGUCGAACGAGUGGCGAACGGGUGAGUAACACGUGGUAAUCUGCCUUACACAAGGGGAUAGCCUUUGGAAACGAAGAAUAAUACCCUAUAGUGUAAGAUGGACUUGCGUCUGAUUAGCUAGUUGGUGAGAUAAAAGCCCACCAAGGCGACGAUCAGUAGCCGGCUUGAGAGGGUGUACGGCCACACUGGAACGGAGACACGGUCCAGACUCCUACGGGAGGCAGCAGUGGGGAAUAUUGCACAAUGGGCGCAAGCCUGAUGCAGCCAUGCCGCGUGGAUGAAGAAGGCCUUCGGGUUGUAAAGUACUUUCAGCGGGGAGGCGUUACCCGCAGAAGAAGCACCGGCUAACUCCGUGCCAGCAGCCGCGGUAAUAC